rnacentral:lncRNA from 1 species
CAGAAAAAUGAGAGCCCAGGUUAGAAGCCCCCUUCACCAGUGCGUUGUCUGUUCCUAGGACCUGGGUGGGGCAAAUUCCUACCCACUGACCAACCUGAGCAUCUACGCUGAAAGCUCAGCUCCAACCUCCCUACUAGCUGUGCAGCCUUCCGGGAAGCCAGUGACCAUGUUGUGAGGAUGCUCAAGCAGUCUUUUGUAGGGGCCCACGUGGCAAAAAACUGAGCCCUCCCACCAACAGCCAUGUGAGAGAAGUGGGCUGGCAGCAGCUCGUCCAGCCCCAAGCGAACCUUCAGAUGAUGCAGCCCCAGAGCGUCUCCACUGAGGCCUUACCAGAGGCCAGACCCAGAGCCAGCCAGCUAAGCCAGGCCCAGAGCAACUGUGUGCGACACUGUUUACUGUUGUUGAAGGAUGAAACAAGUUUUACUGGGUGUCUGAAGAACUCCCCAAACCUCCAUGAUUUAGCAGGAGACAAGAUAAGGAUGAUCACCCCAGCACCUGGACCCACUGGAGAUGAGAUAAGGGUGAUCACCCCAGCACCUGGACCCAUUUAGAUUAAGUAAAUUUACUGAGGUUCCAAAGGAAAGUCUUCAGGAUUCAGAUCUUAGUUAUAGAUUAAAAGAAGUUAGUCACUUUAAGUCUUUAGAUGGAUGCUCAGUUACAUGUAGAUGGAGAGCUUAGAGGGUAUAUAAGCUCUGGAAAACUUUGUCAUUUUGAGUUGGUCUGGCGAUAUUUUCCAGGCCUUC